GCCUGGCAUGGUGGUGCAUGCCUGUAAUCCCAGCAGCUUGGGAGGCUGAGACAGGAGGAUCACAAGUUCAAAGCCAGCCUCAGCAAAUGAGAGUUGCUAAGCAACUCAGUGAGACCCUGUCUGUA
rnacentral:sRNA from 1 species